GGGGAUGUAGCUCACGAUGGCACAUCCACAAUGCAAUGCAAAGCAUUGCGUCAAUGAUGUGCCAUCGGGGAGAGCGCUUUGUUCGCAACGAAGAGGUCGUGAGUUCCGAUGGAACGACUAUAGCGCACUGCGAAGCAAUGCGUGAAUGACGUUCCAUCGUCUCAUCAUCUCCA
rnacentral:tRNA from 1 species